UGCUCCUGUCAUUGAAUCCUGUGUCUGCUACAAAUGUUUGUGCCAUCAUUGUUCAAGUAGAGCUGAUUUAUGUCUUGUUCAGCUUGCGCACAGCAGGUUUUUUUUGUUUGUUUUGCUGUAAACCACAGAUUGAUUCCCCAUUAGCCGCACUGGGUACUCAGGCACAGAGCUCAGAUUUCUGGUUUUGCUUCCAGAAUUAGGGCCUUAUUUUGCAUGUGGCAACAUAAGACUUAAGCUCCUCUUUGCACACAGGUUUUUGGAAGUUAGUGAAUUCCCAUGUGCUUAUGUGCCAUUUGAAACCGCGAUGUGGAUGCCUUGGGAAACUUCACCUUGUAUGUGUAACCUCUGAAUGGAUGAUUUAAUUUCUGAGGAGUUGAUGAGCCACAUCUUCCAAAGAAAAUUUGAUGUUUAGGAGUGUGUUACAGAGGCACCAUUAAAGCCAGAUGUUUUAAAGCUGUGGAAGACAGUAAACUGGAGAAGGCAUCAGAGAAUGAUGACAGCAUGGGGAGACUGACAGUCAUCAGGCCUGUCCGAGAAGGCUUCUGGACACGUGGUUACAUCAGGUCAAGACUGUGAUCUUGGAAGCUUGCUGCAGCAGGUGAAUGGGCUGGAAUAAGGAUCAGUUCCACUGUGAUGUGCCACAGCCUCAGAACCAAAGCCGAAGCCUGCAUUUAGCUUGGGUAGGACUUAAGCACCACUGCUGUCCUCUCUCUCCGCCUCUGGAGAGUUACCUUGGUCCCAGGUUGAAGCCAGGCUCAAGAUGCUGAUAACGUGCUGUUCCUCAGGAAUUUCAGUCCUAAGAAGAAACUUUUAGUUAUGUUCUUACUUCAUGUCCUUUGGGGAAAGGACUGUCCAUCAUCGCAGCUAAGUAGAUGGGGAAAGUUCCCUCUUACCUCUUUCUCUGAAAAGCAAAGGAACUGCUGGGAACAGAGGGCUGGGAGAGCUGCUACUAUACUUGAAGAGACAAAGCAAGCAGAAAGAGCCUGGCAGCUCAGGGCAGCUACACCUCUUUUUCUGCUAUCACAAGCAUUUUAGCGUGCUUUUUUGUUCCUCCCACUCCUUUCCUCCUCAUUGUGACAUGAGGCUUGCCAAGCAGAAAGGGAGAGCCUGAAACUGCUUGCCUUGAGGCCUGGGAGGGGAGGAAAGAGCAGCUUAUAUUGUCAGAUUGGAAGGAGGCAGAGGGGCAAAGGGCAGAUAUGUGGCUGGGGGUGGAGUGGCACAAGGGAGAGAGGGAUGCAGGCUGCAGAGAGUUAAGGAGGAACACUGGAUUAAUUAGUCUUGGGAGAAGGUAUGGUAAAAAGUCAAGAAUCUCUCACAAUAGAUUCAAUGUAACUUCAUUUGGGGAGUCCUGCUUGAAGUCCCCUAACUGGGAGCAUUCCCAGCUUGCUCUGUGAAAGUAAAUCUUUAAGCAGUUGCAAUAAAAGCCACACACGUACAUAUACAGGGCUCGGUUCCUUAUGUGACAUUAAACAGUUCCCUACAUCCAAUAAAUCUCUAAAUCCCACACCCCAUCACUCUUCAGAUAUGGUGGAGAGCUGACUCAAUUUUUGAACCUGUAGCCUUGUCUUCUCCAUGUUAGCAGCUUCCUUAAAAUGACACAUCAGUGAUGUGAUAACCAUUUUAAACUUUUAAAAGGAGUUUUUAACCUUUUUUUUUUUUGUGAGCUGCUGAAACAGCAAACGUUCCUAUAAUUAUGCAAAGUUAAAUGGUGUUACAGUAGUAGCUAUACUAUACACUAGCUGUCACCACAGCUAGAUGUUUGAAAUUUGACAGAUAGUAUUGUUAUGUAUGAUAGAUGUCAUCACGUAUGACAGGAAAUAUGAAACAGUUUUAGAAAAGAUAUGAAUAAGUCUCUUGCAAAUUCAUCUUACUGGAACUCUGUUACAGAAAAUUACCCACUAGUGUCAUAAAGCUCUGUUCAGUUAUGCUUCAUUUCUACUCUUCAGUUCUCGUUUGUGUAAACACCCUACUACCAUUCUGUCAUCACAAAAUGGGGCUUUUUUUUGUCUUUAUCUGCUGAUUCUCCAUAGGAAAGGCCAGACCAUGACUGUGCUGGGAGAUUUUGAGCUUCGGUCAGUGUUCUGGUACCUGCUGUGGAAGUUUUUGAGAUUUCUGUAUGCAGAGGUACUGUCUUAAACCCCUCCAGUGGAAAUUUAUAUUCUGUCUUCCUCCUGUUCUUCCCCCGUGACUCUCAAUGUCUGCAGUCCUUAUCAGUCACGUCGUUUCCCCUCGUGCAGUCUGCAGAG